UUUGUUAGAGACUAAAAUAGCAGGUUAGGGCGAGAUUAUCAAGGAAGAGCUUCUCGACUGAUCUGUGACUGAUAUCGUAGAGAUUACAAUAACUUCGGUUGAGAUUACUUGACUUCGGUAGAGAUUACAAUAGCUGCAGGCGACAUUAUCAAAGAAGAGCUUAUGAAUUGAUCUAAAUUACACUAACUUCAAUAGAGAUUACUUUAGCUUGGACUGAGAUUACCUUCAGGCCCCUUUCUCCGCUCGUAUUCAGCUCAACUCUUGGGCUAUCAUAUAAAUAACUCUUCUUUGAGGUUUUUGGGAGACUUUACAUUAGGAACCCUAAUUUAGUUCAUGCUUUUGUUCAUCUUCCUUAAUCCUUCCAUAAUCUUUCUUUAAUCCUUUAAUUAAUUGUUAUUCUUAUUAUUAAUUUCAAUCAUUUCUCUUUGUUAAACCCUAGUUUUGUCAAUUAGAAUCCUUCUAUUACACUUUUAUUAUAUUGCUUCCAUCAUUCUCCAUUAGAACUCCAUUGUUUAAGGGUUGCCGAUUCAGAGGUGGUAACUUAUGGAUGGGUGCGGGCCGAUUAGGAUUAUGUUUUUUGGGAUUAUGAAUUCCCGCCUACUGCUUCUUCAGAUUUAACUACUAAAGAAGGUAAAGCAUAUACUUCUCUACCAGUGGAAGAGGGUGGGGGAAAACUCCCUCUGUCUCUCAUUUUUGAGACAUUACAAACAAUGGUGGAUGGACAUCUCUAGUUUGUGGUUAAAGACAAGUUUCGUCUCUCUAGAAACAAGGAUAUUGGUGUCGCUUAGGCGAUCCUAGAAUGCAAGCCUGCGAUGUGAUCGGUUCUUUGACUUGGCCCACCAAUGUAUAUAUCCAUGUCAACAUAUACCAUUUCAUUUUUAUGUGUUAGGUUUCCUAUGCAUUGGUUCUUGUAGAAGGUUUUGUGCUUCUACUAUCUAUCUUUUAACCCGUUGAUGCCCCAGAAAAUUAAGAAGGUCAUCUCCUUCAUUUGGCACUAUGAGUACAUAGGGUACCCCCCAACCUCAAGUCUGUUCAAGAGCCGUAUUUAGGAUACAACAUGGGUCCAACAAGCCUUACUAUUCAGCCAGGUUGUCAAGCAUGCAAGCGUUGUACUCGCUUAACUUUCUGAUCUCAGGGAUUACUAUGACAUGAUAGUGUGGGUGAGGGUGCCUUGGACUAAAAAUCACCCAUUCAAGUAUAAUCCACCAGUCCACUAGUAUGUCCUAAAACUACAUCCAUCCUUAUUAAUGGAUGAGAUUUCUUGUCUCUCCCACCUGGAGAGGUUACUCCACUUUCAUAGGUAGAGUGAAGUCUAGACUGAGGAAGAGUAUCCCUAUAAAUGGUUAUGCCAUGAUGUAGUCCUGCGCAAAGAAGAUGUGGUUUCUUUAGUAAGCAUGUCUACCUUCCUCACCUUAGUAGAGCUAUUUGACUAGGCGCAUUACACCAACUGGGUAUAACACCCUCAGGUGGUUACUUCCCUCUUAGGGCUCCUGAAUGUCCCGAAAACUUUGAGAGGAUGUUCUUCGAUAACUAGAUUUAAGAACAGAUCUUAAAAGCGCCUGCUAAGGUGAAGGUAACAGAUUUUAAGCAGCGUCUGUCUUCUGAGUAUUAUAUGGACCCAUUGAUGAGUAAAGAGGUAAUUAACGCCUUUUUUGUUGACAAGGUGGUCCAACAUGGAAACUAUCGUAUGAUUCUUGGAGUGGGUAGGGUCCCGCACUUCGGGAAUAAGUAUAAUGAUGUGCCUGCCUGGGUGCAUCCCAAAUGUGACUUAUUGACUAGUGAGCUCUUCACAGAACGUGAAAAGGAUGGGAUCCGGGCCUCUAGGGGUAAGGUACCCUCCAGUGCCAGGAAACCAAUCGCUUCUGUCAAACCAAGAAGGUCAACGAAAGGGACUCCAAGCCUGUGGUUUUAGCUCACCUAAGUGCUGCCUCUUUCGAGGGUCUUUAAGUUGAUCACUGCACAUAGAAGGAACCGUAAGGACACUCAUCAUCCUUUUGUGGCAGCCUCUCUUCCUGCUGCUGAACCCAUCAGGGAGCGUAUGAUCAAGCAGAAAUGUCUUAAGCCUUUUCCAAUUUUAUUGGACUUCUCCUAAAGAUAAGGAUAUCCCAAGAGAUCCCGCCAUUUCUGUUGCCCCUAUCUCCUUUUAGUGCCUUGCUCUCAUGUGGUGGAGCCGUGGAGUCUUAUCUUCUCUCAACAGACAGGCCUAAAGCAGAAGUAGUCGACAGGGCGGUGCUCCUUGAGUGCCUGAAUCUCUUUAGGAGAGGAUGGAUAGGGAAGAGUAUGCCCAGGAGAUCAAUGCUGCCCUGGCUGACUCUCCUGCAGAGGUAGAUGAUCUAGGCAAGUGCUCUUUCCUAGGAAACGAAUUCAAAACUUUGAUUCGUUCCGUGGUUUAUCUAAUAAAGAAGAGGUUAUCAGUGCGGGUGACACUAAUAAACAUUUAACUUUGAGACUUUUAUCCUGCUUAUCUCAAUGAUUGUAGAUGAUACCCCCCUAAAGAGGGUUGAGUCAAUUGUUGCUCUCAAGCCCCAAGUCACGCCAAUUAAAGUAGUGAGCAGGAAGCAAUAAAAAGAAUCUUCUUGUGGUUUGGAUUGCCCAAUUUCUAAGUCAUCGCGAUCGAUUAAGAAGAAGGCUAAGAAUGUUAACCCUGCUACCUUGCCUUGGGCUCAGGGAGUGAAGCCUGUUCCAGCUUCUGCUCCCCCUAACCCUGAGAAGAUGUUCAUGGACUCUAGACGUCAGCUUGGUGUCUCAUCCGAGAGACGAAUUGAAACAGCCUAAACCAACGUAAACAGUGUAAUAAUACUGUUUACAAAGCACAACGGAAAACUUACAGAAAUCUAGGCUGAAUCCGACCUGUGGCUCGAAAACCACAGCAAACCAAUAUCAGAGUAUUUUAAAAAAAAAACUUUACAUUACUUUAAUACAAUUAAUUACAAACCAUUUAUU